AAUUAGAAAAGUGAGAAGGGAAGAAGGCUUAACCCCGUCUAGUCUCCGCUUUUCAGACUCCUCGUCUGCCGUUCACAAUUUCCCCUGGCGGAUCGCUUUCGGCCGGUUAUGCUCGCGGUUCGCGUUUUCGAGAUUUCCUAGUCGUCGGCGUGCCUGCGGAAGAAAGGCGUCGAAGAUGUGAGAAGUGCGACGAGGAUAUAAACAAAUGGACGGACACUCUCUCCACUGGACGUCGGUUGUUUAUCUCGUGAAAUGGGAUCGGCCUAAAAUGUGCAAAUGAAGUCGGCCGAGUUGUGAUCGUGUCGGGGGCCGCGACCGCCUAGCGCCUUUAUUCUUCAGUUUGUCUCCUCAGACCGGCGGCGGAUAGAAAACAAGUGAAAAAUGGCAGAUUUGGAGGCGGUCCUCGCGGACGUCAGCUAUCUGAUGGCCAUGGAGAAGAGCAAAUGCACUCCAGCUGCUAGGGCCAGCAAGAAGAUCAUCCUUCCAGACCCGAGUGUGAGGAGUGUGAUGCACAAAUACCUGGAGAAGAAGAAUGAAAUUAACUUCGAUAAAAUAUUUAAUCAAGUACUUGGCUACCUCAUGUUCAAGGAUUUCUGCGAGAACAUAUCAGAAGAUCCGGUUCCACAGUUAAAAUUUUACGAAGAGAUAAAAGAAUAUGAAAAACUGGACAAUCCGGAAGACAGGAGAAAAUCGGCGAGGCAGAUUUACGAUAAGUUCAUUAUGAAAGAGCUGCUAGCCCACGCACACGACUAUCCAAAAGAUGCGGUCGCCCACGUUCAAAAAUACUUGAUGAAAAAUGAAGUCCCGGUUAAUUUAUUCGAGCCUUAUAUUCAAGAAAUAUUCAAUCAUCUGAGAGGAGAACCGUUUAGGAAAUUUUUAGAAAGUGAAAAAUACACUAGGUUCUGUCAAUGGAAAAAUUUAGAACUGAACAUUCAAUUAACAAUGAAUGACUUCAGUGUUCAUCGUAUUAUUGGUAGAGGAGGUUUUGGUGAAGUUUACGGAUGUCGGAAAGCAGACACGGGUAAAAUGUAUGCCAUGAAAUGUUUAGAUAAAAAACGGAUAAAGAUGAAACAAGGCGAAACACUUGCGCUCAAUGAGAGAAUUAUGCUCUCGCUAGUCAGCACAGGGGUCGAUUGCCCCUUCAUUGUAUGUAUGACAUACGCUUUUCAUACUCCUGAUAAGUUAUGCUUUAUUCUCGACUUGAUGAAUGGAGGCGACCUUCAUUACCACCUGUCCCAACAUGGGGUUUUCAAUGAAAUGGAAAUGAAGUUCUACGCUGCUGAAGUCAUCUUAGGUCUGGAGCACAUGCAUCGAAGAUAUAUAGUCUACAGAGACUUGAAACCUGCGAAUAUUCUUUUGGACGAACAUGGCCAUGUAAGAAUAUCAGAUCUUGGCUUGGCUUGUGAUUUCAGCAAAAAGAAACCUCAUGCGAGUGUUGGAACUCAUGGAUACAUGGCACCAGAAGUGUUAUCUAAAGGCACUGCUUAUGAUUCCAGUGCAGACUGGUUUUCUUUUGGCUGUAUGCUUUACAAGCUUUUAAAAGGCCAUUCACCAUUUAGGCAGCAUAAAACAAAGGACAAACAUGAAAUCGACAGGAUGACCCUCACAAUGAAUGUUGAGCUUCCUGAUUCUUUCUCUUUGGAAUUAAAGGACCUCCUUGAACGGCUGCUUAUGAGAGAUAUUGACAAAAGACUCGGUUGUAAAGGAAAAGGUGCUGAUGAAGUAAAAGAGCAUCCAUUUUUUAAUGGCGUGGACUGGCAACAAGUCUACGUUCAGAAAUACCCACCUCCACUCAUACCUCCACGGGGAGAAGUGAAUGCCGCCGAUGCUUUUGAUAUCGGUUCUUUUGAUGAGGAGGACACUAAGGGGAUCAAGUUGACAGAGGCAGAUCAAGAAUUGUAUAAAAAUUUCCCACUUGUCAUCUCAGAAAGAUGGCAGAAUGAAGUCGCAGAAACAGUUUUUGAAACAAUCAAUCAAGAAGCAGACCGUUUGGAACAGAAGAGGAAAGCCAAACAGAAACAGAGAUUUGACACAGACGAAAAGGAAUCUGAUUGUAUUCUUCAUGGUUACAUAAAGAAAUUAGGAGGUCCUUUUGCGUCUGCCUGGCAAACGCGUUAUGCCAAACUUUAUCCAAAUAGGUUAGAGCUUCACCCCGAGUCGGGAAGCACAAAACCAGAUUUGGUAUUUAUGGAUCAGGUGGAAGAAGUCUCUCCUGACCUGGUGACUGUUAAAGGUGAACAGUGUAUCAAUAUUAAGACAAGGGAUGCCAAAAUUGUACUCACAAACUCGGAUGAUAUAGGUCUGAAAGAGUGGCUACAGUCUUUGAGGUCGACUCACAAAUGUUCCCUCGAACUACUAGGGAACAUGGCAAAGAAAGCCGGCAAAAUCUACGGCACGGACAGAGACAAAGGAGAGAAAGUCAUCGCACCAAGAACAACAAAUGAUGCUGGCAGAAUCUGGACAAUUUAUCUAUUUCCACCAUCACUUUUGAAAUUUAAGAGACCCUCAAUCGAACAGAUUCAAUGGUAUCUUUAUGCCAUCGAGCCUUCAUAACAUUUAUUAGUGAGGAUGAUGUCCAAGGACUGUUGAACUACCUGGACAAUAAAAAAAUCAACAUCGAUGACAAAGAUGAAAAUGGAGCUACGGCUUUACAUUAUGCGGCGGCGAAAGGGAAGGUCAACUUUGUUCGUAUUCUUUUAAACCACAAUGCCGAAGUCAAUGCUGAAGACCAGGACAAUUGGACUGCGUUGUUGUGUGCAGCAAAAGAGGGCCAUUAUGAUGUUUGUCAAGAAUUGGUUGAAAGGGAUGCCGAUAAAGAACAUAGGGACAUGGGAGGAUGGACUGCACUUAUGUGGGCGGCAUACAAAGGCCAUACGAACAUUGCACUUCUCCUCAUUGAAAAAGGAGCUGAUGUCAAUGCUCAUGGAAACUACCACAUCUCAUCCCUUUUAUGGGCUGCCGGGAGGGGGC
rnacentral:misc_RNA from 1 species